rnacentral:rRNA from 1 species
GACGAACGCUGGCGGCGUGCUUAACACAUGCAAGUCGAACGGUAAGGCCCUUUGGGGUACACGAGUGGCGAACGGGUGAGUAACACGUGGGUGAUCUGCCCUGCACUUCGGGAUAAGCCUGGGAAACUGGGUCUAAUACCGGAUAGGACUCCGGACUGCAUGGUCUGGGGUGGAAAGCUUUUGCGGUGUGGGAUGGGCCCGCGGCCUAUCAGCUUGUUGGUGGGGUGAUGGCCUACCAAGGCGACGACGGGUAGCCGGCCUGAGAGGGUGACCGGCCACGCUGGGACUGAGAUACGGCGCAGACUCCUACGGGAGGCAGCGGUGGGGAAUAUUGCACAAUGGGCGCAAGCCUGAUGCAGCGACGCCGCGUGAGGGAUGACGGCCUCCGGGUUGUAAACCUCUUUCAGCACAGACGAAGCGCAAGUGACGGUAUGUGCAGAAGAAGGACCGGCCAACUACGUGCCAGCCGCCGCCGUAA